GACGAACGCUGGCGGCGUGCUUAACACAUGCAAGUCGAGCGGUAAGGCCCUUUGGGGGUACACGAGCGGCGAACGGGUGAGUAACACGUGAGUAAUCUGCCUUUGGUCUUGGGAAUAACUUCGGGAAAUCGGGGCUAAUGCCUGAUGUUUACUGUCUGCUGCAUGGUGGGUGGUGGAAAGAUUUUUGGUCCAGGGAUGAGCUCGCGGUCUAUCAGCUUGUUGGUGGGGUAAGUGGCUUACC
rnacentral:rRNA from 1 species